CAACAACCGUCUCCUCUCCUGCCGCCAUGGCGGCUGCACGAAGACGAAGUGGUGGCGAAGGAAGAGCAUCCUUCCCACCCAACUCUCUCAAU
rnacentral:sRNA from 1 species